UUCUCCGUCAACGUGGAUAAGAUUUGGUCUAACUGCUGCUUACAAAGAACCGAAAUUUAGGCUCCAUUCAUCCAUGGAGCUUUGCAAUUUGUUCUUCAUCACCACUCCCGUAAAAUCCACAUUUCCGAAUCUCAAAUCUCGUUCAGUAAAAUGCUCGGCGGAGACGACGACUCACCGACUCAAACUCGCGGAGUCACUCCAGGACGAGACGUUGAAGAUUCUUGAAUGGCCGUCUGUAUGCAACCAGGUCUCCGCCUUCACUUCCACCACCAUGGGCUUUUCGGCUGCUCGAGAUGGUCUGCUUCCUAUAGGACGGAGCCCUGAGGAGACCCGGAGGCUCCUGGAUCAGACGUCCGCGGCAUUUGCGCUUUAUCUGCCGCCGGAUUUCUCUGGAAUUGAAGACGUUUCGGAGAUUGUUGAGUCGUCAGUUGCUGGUCAGUUGCUUUCAAUAAGAGAGAUUUGUGCGGUAAAACGGACUUUGCGAUCCGCUAGGGAAUUGUUUGAACAGUUGACGAAGAGUUCUCUGCAAUCAGAAAGGUACUAUCCUCUGCUUGAAAUUUUUCAGAAUUGCCAUUUUUUAACGGACCUGAAGAAAAAAAUAGAGUUCUGUAUAGACUGUAAGCUCUCAACUAUACUUGAUAGGGCCAGUGAAGAUUUGGAGAUUAUUAGGUCAGAAAGAAAGGAAAACAUGGAGAGUCUGGACUGUCUAUUGAAAGAGGUAUCAACUAAGAUUUUCCUGGCUGGGGGUAUUGACAGACCAAUUGUAACUAAACGUCGGUCAAGGAUGUGUGUUGCUAUAAGGGCUUCUCAUAAAUCGUUGCUGCCAAGUGGUGUUGUUUUGAAUGUUAGCAGCUCGGGAGCAACAUACUUCAUGGAACCCAAAGAGGCAGUGGACUUGAACAACAUGGAAGUCAGGCUUUUAAAUGCUGAAAGGGCUGAGGAGCAAGCCAUUUUGGGCUUGCUCUCAUCUGAAAUUGCACAAUCGGAGUCAGAAAUUAAGUAUUUGUUAGGUAGAGUUCUGGAAGCUGAUUUUGCAAUUGCAAGAGCUGCUCAUGCUCGGUGGAUGAAUGGGGUAUGCCCAGUUCUAAGCUCCAGUGGUUUUAAGAAUGUUGGUUUGAGUGGCUCUGGUUCUUUUUCAAUUGAUAUUGAAGGUAUACAACAUCCGUUGCUUCUUGAGGCCUCUCUGAAAAGUUUGUCAGGUCCAACAUCCAAAACUAGUAACUCAGUUAUUUGGUGCGAGUUAAAUGGAACGAUAGGCCACAUGUCUUCUGAUUCUUUGCCUUUUCCUGUUCCUAUUGACAUCAAAGUUGAACAUGAAACAAGGGUAGUUGUGAUCUCUGGACCUAACACUGGGGGAAAAACUGCUUCCAUGAAAACAUUAGGAUUGGCAUCUAUUAUGCUGAAGGCUGGCAUGUAUUUACCUGCUAGAAAUCACGCAACCCUUCCAUGGUUUGAUUUUAUUCUGGCAGAUAUUGGAGACCACCAGUCUCUGGAACAAAGCCUCUCAACUUUUAGCGGUCAUCUCACACGGAUUUGUAAGAUGUUGGAAGUGACCACUAAACAGUCACUCAUUCUUAUUGAUGAGAUUGGCAGUGGGACUGAUCCAUCAGAAGGUGUGGCGCUUUCGACCAGUAUAUUGGAGUAUGUGAAGGAUAGAGUCAACUUAGCCGUGACAACCACACAUUAUGCAGAUUUAUCUCUCUUGAAAGAGAAGGAUCCUCAAUAUGAGAAUGCAGCAAUGGAGUUCUCUUUGGAGACUUUACAACCUACCUACAGGAUACUUUGGGGAAGCACAGGGGAAUCAAAUGCAUUAAGUAUUGCUAAAUCGAUAGGUUUUGAUGAAAAAAUAGUUGGACGUGCACAAACAUGGGUGAAGAGAUUAAUGCCAGAUAAGGCAGAGAAGCGGAGAGGUUUGCUCUUUCAGUCGCUAAUGGAAGAAAAAAACAGAUUAGAAGUUCAGGCAAAAAGAGCCGCACAUAUAUAUUCAAACACCAUGAAUCUUUAUCAUGAGUUACCCAUCUUUAACAUAUCUGUCUACUGUUUACGUUUAUCCUUGCGAAGAUCCGGGAUGAGGCAGAUGAUCUUGCCAGGCGUGAGGAAGCUCUUAAGGCUAAGGAAACUCAGAAUAUCCAAAGAGAAGUAAUCACCGUGAAGUCUCGGUUACAGACGAUAGUGGAUGAUUUUGAAGCUCAAGUUAAAACUGCUGGUAUUGAUCAGCUUAAUGCACUUCUUAAGGAAUCUGAAUCUGCCAUUGCAUCAGUUAUUGAAGCUCACAGUUAUGCCGAAGAAUCUUCUGUCACAGAAGCAAAAAAUUCUUCUCUUACAUUAAAGCUGGGGGAGCAAGUGCUUGUGAGCGGAUUAGGAAAUAAACUGGCAACUAUAGUUGAGGCACCUGGAACUGAUGGCACUGCUCUUGUCCAAUAUGGAAAAAUUAGGGUCCGGGUGAAUUUAAGUAGUAUAAGAGCUGUUCCGAGUAGUGAUAUGACUCCGGCGGAAAAUUCACAAUUAAACUUCAAAAAGCAGGGUCGGAGGAUCAGAAGCCUUAAGAAUUUAUCAGAGGCCAGCAAUAGUAAAGAGGUUUCUUAUGGACUAGUGCUACAGACAUCAAAGAACACUGUUGAUUUACGUGGUAUGAGAGUGGAGGAAGCGUCUCACCACCUUAACUUGGCUAUUAGUACAAAUGGGUCUAACUCGGUUCUCUUUAUCAUUCAUGGGAUGGGUACUGGCGUUGUGAAGGAGUCCGCACAACAAAUAUUAAGAAAGCAUCCGCGUGUUGUCAAGUUUGAACAGGAAAGUCCAACUAAUUAUGGCUGUACAGUUGCUUACAUCAAAUGAAUAUACUAUAUGUAAUUUCUAGUUUAUAUAUGAAAGAGAAUUUGAUAAAAGUAUAUGGCAAACCGUUUCUAAGAUGUACUUAGCUUUCCUCUCUCCUUAAAUAUUGAUUAUCAGUGGAAGUUGAAUAAUUGCAAGAUUUGAUGUUCCUGUAUUAAUCUAGACUGUACAUGUAUCAGAUAGUUGUACUUGGCUCAGUACUUGUAAUGCAGUCUUGUGAACUGUUAAUAAAUGAUGAUAUUCUCU